GGGAAGCGGCCUCGGCGCGGGGGGCGGAGGGGAGCGGCGGAGGUGCGGGGCCGGCGGAGGGGGGCGAGGAGGGAGGCGGCUCCCCCUGCGCAGAACGAUGGUUUCUCCCGGAGCUGUCGAUCAUCCAGAGAAAGCCGUGAUUUCAGCCCAAAUCUUCCUCUCGGGCACCCAAUACACCUAGUUCCCCAUGAGCCUGGGAUCCCAGUCUACCCACCAAGAGGCACAGAAGGAAUGGGCUUUUCUCACCGUGCUCUUCCUCAUCACCCUGCUGCACCAGCAGCUUGGACAUCUGGAGUGCCCUGACCCCAAGCAGGUGCACGCUGCUGUGAUCUUUGAUGCUACCUAAGGCCAGAAAUGGAGCUGAGGUGGAGAAGCAGAAAGGAGGAAGGGAAGAGGAUGGCAUGGGUCACCCGAGCAUCAUCCUGCACCGGGACCCCAGGGAUGCACAGAGCCAUGGGAUUUCAUUCCUGCAGAGGGAAGUGUGGCUGCAGACAGCAAUGAGUGAAAGAGGUGAUUACCGUGAGAGGGCAGGAGCUGAAGGAGGAACCACAUCUUCUUUCACGACGCAGGAUGAAAAGGAAACAGCAUGUCUGGGUUGUUCUGAAGAGGAGCACGCAAAGGGAGAUGCAAGGGCAUGGAGCAAGGUGCACGGCAUGCAGACAAAAGCCCUCCAAGGUCUGCAGACAAAAGGUCAGGAGUGAGCAGGAGCAGUGCCACAUGCUGUACAGCAGGCAUCUCUCAUUCUCUUUGGCUGCGGGAAUUUCCACUCUGUUUUUUUGGCUAAAAUGUGACUGAGCUGGAGCAAGCCAUCAUAGAAUCAAGGCACGGCUUGGAUUGGAAGGCACCUUAAAGCUGACCCGGUUCCAACCCCCUGCUGUGAGCUGGGUGCCUCCCACCAGCUCAGGCUGCACAGGGCCCUAUCCAUGGCCUCGGGCACCUCCAGGGAUGGGGCACCCACAGUUGGCCUUCCAGCUGCCAGCACACACUGCUGGCUCAUGUCAAACUCUUCAUCCAGCAGAACAUCCAACCAACCAAGUCCUUCUCUGCAGUGCUGCUCUCAGUGGGUUCUCCCACUCUGUAUGCUUACCUGGGGUUGCCUCAACCUGAGAACAGCACGCUGCACCUCGCUUUGCUGAACUUCAUUUGGGUCACGUGCGUACACUUCUCGAGCCCACCGAGGUCCCUUUGGAUGGCAUCCCUUCCCUCUUGUGUGUCAGCUGCACUGCUCAGCUUGGUGCCAUCAGCAAACUGCUGAGGAUGCUCUCAAUCCCACUGCCUAUGUCAUUGAUAACGAUAUUAAAGGGCGCCGGUCCCAAGAUGGACCCCUAGGGGACACUACUCAUCACCAGCCUCCACCUGGACAUAGAGCCAUCGACCACAGAAUUCCUGCAAGUGAGACAGAUGUUGGAUCUGGCAAAUUAAUUCACAUGCACUUCACGCUAAUACUUAUGUUCUUGCAGGAGCCGGCAGGAGGCAGGUCUGGCGAGGAGUGAGGGGAAACACUGCCCAAUUAGCAAGGAUGGAUGGAGCAUGGAGCAGCCCGUCCAUCUGCUCUUUGGGCUGCUGCCCUGGUGACAUGAAGGACCUGCCAGUAAGGCAGCACUCAGGUGACUCUAAUUCCAUUGACACGCUGCCACGGCACCAGUGGGUGAAGCAGAGCCCUGUCCUGCAGCAAGCUAAGCCUCCUGCCACCCUAUCCUGGCACCAGAGAGGAGCAGGUGGCUUGGAGAAGGCUAACAUGACACCAGCUUUUGUUGGAAGCCCCAUGAAGACAUGGGGAACUAGGUAUGAGGCAGAGCUUGUGAUAGUGACAGGAUGAAAGACACUUGGCUAAGUGCUGUCUGCUAGGAAAAAUAUUACGGUGCUUCUGUAUGGAGAGUCCUGUCAUGGAAUCAUAGAACGGUUUGAGUUGGAAGGAACCCUUAAAGUCCACCUGGUCCAACCCCCCUGCAAUGAACAGGGACCCCCACAGCUCCAUCAGUGCUCAGAGCCCCGUCCAGCCUGGCCUUGGGUAUCUGCAGGGACGGAGCACCCACCACCUCUAUGGGACCGUGAGUUGCUGUGCACAUCAUGUGCUGGGAUUUCCAGAGGAUUUCCAUUAAGUCUCUUUCCAAAAGGUUUUUUUGAGGAAAAUAAGCAACUAAGAAGUACAAUGGAUGUUCCAUGUGUUUUUGACUAAGAGGUGGUGGCAGAGGGUAGGAGUAAGCAGUGGGUGCUGUAAGUGGAGGAGGUCACCAGUUGGUCCUACAGGGUCUGGGCUGGGACCCAUCCUUCCCAACAGACCCUGAAGUGAGAGGGAUAGGGUCAAGCAGGGAAGUGGCAGAGGGUGAACAGUGCAACAUGGGGAAAACUACCACAACCUCACAAGAACCAAGACCAUCAGACAAAGCUUGGAUGAAGUUCAUGGUCAGGUAAGAAAAGAUAGGUGCUCAGAGGGAGGUGAUUCUCCAUAUAGGCAGGGGAGCUACUUGGCAGAGGAUGCUGUGGAUACAAGAAGCUCACAGGGAUUCCAGUGAAGACUGUACAAGUUCUUGAAGCAGGGAUCCAGGAAGACACUGGGAAAUCCAUGGGAACAAAGAAAGAGUUGGGAUGUCUUCAAUAUGGGUUGCUCUGGACUCAUGCAAUCCAUAGUCUCCUAUCUGUGAUUAAAACCUUUUCUGGGCUCACAGGAGAUGUUGUGGAUGCAGUGGGUUUCUCCACAGAUGCUCCCUGGCACCAGUGUGGCACCAGCGUUGAUGGGACCUCCAGCAUGGCCAUGCCACCGCAUGGAGGAGACCUCCAGCAUGGCCAUGCCAGUUGGCUGCUGGCCCUAUUUGCUCCAAGCUCAGCUCAUGAGACAUAGGCUGCUGCAUCCCAUUACUCAUCCCCAGGCUGUGAUCAGAUAGGUCUUUAAUUUGAUUUUAAUUAAAACAACUCUUUGCUUUUUCUUUUCUUGAGAUGGUUUGCAUUCUGUCUGGAGGGCUGUGGUUGCCAAGAGGAAGAGCUGCUGCAGCAGCACUGGGCUGGGGCUGCAAGAGAUGAGCAAUGGUGGGGUGCUGGAGCAAUGGAGCAGGACGCAGAGCAACCAGAGUCCUCCAGACUCAGGACAUGGACAUAUAGGGAUGUUGGGUGGGCUCUGCACAGAGCUGCAGAAUUGCUCAGCAGUCUUACUGGAGAGGAGCUAAAUUAGCCCUGAUUUACCUGGGAGGACGGAUAGUUCUUUUCAACUAGUUUUUAAUUUGGAGUAAAUUUCCAGAACUAGCUGUUCAGAUGUCAACGAGAUAAGUGAUCUGCGUUUCUCCUCAGUCAAACAGGAUUUUCCUUCUUUUCUGACAAGCAAAACUGUGCUCUCUAAGUAGAUGUUCCAGCUAACAAGGUGUUAAGCAUGUAGAGCACCACAAGUACUUUGUGGGGCUGCCUCGAGGGUGGAUCCAACUGCUAGUAAACCAACAAUCAGCACCAACCUUGUCUCCAGCUUCCAGGAAUGACUUCAGAUAAAUAAAUUGUCCCAGGGCCAGGACCA
rnacentral:lncRNA from 1 species